GUCAUCCAAAAAUCAAUAAUCUCAUUGUUCUCGGUGGAGAUCAGUUUUAGUUUAUCCCCAAAUCUCCAGUCUUCCGUGAUCCUCACCAGUUCGGGGUUUUGGUGAUGAGACACCGGUCCUGCUUCUCCUGAAGUUUGACGCCUCAUCGCCCAUGGCGCACAACCAGAUGACUGUAUUUAUUUUAGAGAAUUUAUUGCUUUUUAUUAGCCACUUAUUGCAGAGACACACAGAUCGCCGGCGCUGGCUCUCCCCGCUUUCUUUCUCUGUCUCUCGCACUCUCUCUCUCUCUUUCUGUGUGUGGUAUUAUUGCUGUCCGUAUGUUUUUUCAGCAGAGCUCAAAUUUCCAAGCAAUUUCCAUUAAAGUACUCAGUCUAUCGUGGUUCGUGUAGAGCUACAGCAUCUCUGUGCGUACACCAAGCGCAGAAGUCUUCAGCAAUUCCUCGGUGGAGAUAUUUUUCUUCUUCUUCUUCUUCUUCUUCUUCUUCUUCUUCUUCUUCUUCUUCUUCUUCUUCUUCUUCUUCUUCUUCUUUUUAACUAAAAGGCUUAACAGGACUCAGAAGCUUAUCUUUAAUAGAUCAGGAUGCUGAAGAAAGGUUGGACAUAUCCAAAAGGCAUAAGCGAUCCUUUGCUGUCCAGAUUUUCUCUGCUUCAGUUUUUCUUUCUUUCUUUUUUGUUUCUUUUUUCAGUCAGAAUGCAUCGUAAAAGGAGAGAAUUCAUAGUUGCGGUGGUUCAGUCAUCCUGUGCAGUGUGGGCCAUUAUCUCCCCAUCCUCAUAUUUGCUGGAGUUCGACGGCAAACACUGGCUUCACCACAGCACUCUCUCUCUUCUCUUUCUCUUUCUCUCCCCCCCUCCCUCUGUUCUGGUCCAUCCAGUCUCUAUAUGGUGGAUGGGUGGUUGCUCUCCUCAGUGAGCACUGUCAGCACUGGGGGGGAUUUAAACCAUUUAUUUGCACAUCCAUUAUGCUUUGCCCCCUGUCUGCUCACUUGGCAUUUCCGUGAGAGAAAACAAAAGCAACAAAUUGGCCAAAUC
ensembl:lncRNA